GCUCGCAUAGCUCAGUUGGAUAGAGCGACAGUUUCCUAAACUGUAGGUCCCAGGUUCGAUUCCUGGUGCGGGCGCCA
rnacentral:tRNA from 1 species